UGGGGAAUAUUGCACAAUGGGGGAAACCCUGAUGCAGCGACGCCGCGUGAAGGACGACGUAUUUCGGUAUGUAAACUUCUAUCAGCAGGGAAGAAAAGAUGACGGUACCUGACUAAGAAGCCCCGGCUAACUACGUGCCAGCAGCCGCGGUAAUACGUAGGGGGCAAGCGUUAUCCGGAUUUACUGGGUGUAAAGGGAGCGUAGGCGGCGCGGCAAGUCAGAAGUGAAAACCCAGGGCUUAACUCUGGGAUUGCUUUUGAAACUGUCGGGCUGGAUUGCCGGAGAGGUAAGUGGAAUUCCUAGUGUAGCGGUGAAAUGCGUAGAUAUUAGGAGGAACACCAGUGGCGAAGGCGGCUUACUGGACGGCGAAUGACGCUGAGGCUCGAAAGCGUGGGGAGCAAACA
rnacentral:rRNA from 1 species